AAUCAACGCUGGCGGCGUGCCUAACACAUGCAAGUCGAACGAGAAAGGGGACUUCGGUCCCUGAGUAAAGUGGCGCACGGGUGAGUAACACGUGACUUAUCUACCCUCGAGUGGGGAAUAACUUCGGGAAACCGAGGCUAAUACCGCAUAAUACCCACGGGUCAAAGGAGCAAUUCGCUUGAGGAGGAGGUCGCGGCCGAUUAGUUAGUUGGCGGGGUAAUGGCCCACCAAGACAGUGAUCGGUAUCCGGCCUGAGAGGGCGCACGGACACACUGGAACUGAAACACGGUCCAGACUCCUACGGGAGGCAGCAGUGGGGAAUUUUGCGCAAUGGGGGAAACCCUGACGCAGCAACGCCGCGUGGAGGAUGAAGUCUCUUGGGACGUAAACUCCUUUCGAUCGGGACGAUUAUGACGGUACCGGAAGAAGAAGCCCCGGCUAACUUCGUG
rnacentral:rRNA from 1 species